GCUGGGUACAGUAGUGUAUGCUUGUAAUCUCAGCUACUUGGGAGGCUGAGGCAGGAGUAUUACAAGUUUGAGACCAGCUUGGACAAUUUAGUAAGACCCUGCCUCCA
rnacentral:sRNA from 1 species